UACAGAGGGUGCGAGCGUUGUCCGGAAUCACUGGGCGUAAAGGGCGCGUAGGUGGCGACCCAAGUCGAUGGUGAAAGCUCGCCGCUCAACGGCGAGUCGGCCACCGAUACUGGGUUGCUGGAGCACUGUAGAGGCUCAUGGAAUUCCGGGUGUAGCGGUGGAAUGCGUAGAGAGUCCGGAAGAACGACCGGUGGCGAAGGCGGGUCUCUGGGCAGUAACUGGACGCUGAGGAGCGAAAGCGUGGGGAGCGAACAGG
rnacentral:rRNA from 1 species